CCACAGCACAACGGUACUGCUCUGAGUGCUCCCCCGACUCCUCCUCUGAUCAGCAACUGUCAGGCAGGCUCCGCCCCUCUACUGCUUAUUGGGCCUCUGCUUCUGCUCUGCCUCUAGAGGGAAGGGUAAGCUAUUUCUGCCGUUGGCGUCAGUGUUGCCAUGGCGCCAUGGUGUCACCUCCGAUGGAUCCAGCCGUGUACCGCCGCUCACCCGAACAUCACCGCCGGCAAGACAUCACAGCGGCGGCUCCUGGCGCGAUCUCCGCUUCUCCGCCUGACACCUCAGCGACAACAAGGCUCCGUGCACCACCAUAAGGAUUGCUCACAGGAAGCGGACUGCGGGAUGGAAUGGAUGCACUGCAGCAGAAAGUGCUAAUACGGCUGUAAUUCACUAACAGUAAUUAUACUGGGUUUCUGGACACUGGCUGUACGGGAUGAGAAAGCAUUAGAACUCCAGACAGUACUACUUAUUUCCAUAUUGUCCAGAGGAAUCCCGGAUGGUUGGUUUCAACAAUACAAACAAAUGGUACACAGACUACUACAUGCAUGGAACCAGAAAACUUUAGCUUUCAACAGUACAAAUUUGUACAGAAGAGAUACAGAACAAAUGAGAACAGAAGUCAUCCCCAACAGUUUAAGUUCUAACCAGACAUAAUAUACACUAAUUGUAUUGCCAAAAUUAUGUUUGAGUACAAGGGUUAACAAAAUAAAAG